CUUUCUGAAAGGCGCUUAUACAGUCAAUCGUCUGAUAAUGCUGACGUACCGGCGUUCGCGGAAGAAACGUGUCUGUGUUAUUUUAAUUAUAGAAUACAAAUAAUUAUGGGAUAAUAAAGUGAUCAGCCUAAAUUAACUAAACAUCAUGCCAAUGAUCCGGAAGCUUCUAUUAAAACUGUGUACAAGGGGAAAAGCCGGCGAACAGUAGGCCUACAUGUCACCGAGAAGUGGGGCAGUAGGCAAAAGCUUGGAACGCAAUCACAAGAACUUGCAGAAGUUCAGAUUGAGAAUGAGAAACCAGAAACAAAUUUAAUUGCUAACUGUACUACAAAUAGCAGUUCAGUAUCAGACGUAGAUACUUCGGUUACAUUUGAUGAAAAUAUAAGAUACGAUACUGAAAAGGCCAAACGUCUUGAAGAAUGGAAAAGUAUAUCUCCAGAAAUUAUGUCUGCUUAUGUACAAAUGCAGACACCCAAUAAGCGACAAUGUGCUGAUUGUUGUCUCUCCACAGAUGAACUGUACAGGUGUUGUGAUUGCUGUUCAUGGGAGACUACGUGCCUCACAUGCUUGCGGUUGAGGCAUAAACAUCCUCAUCUGCAUUUGGAAGAACAUGGCUUACCUUUCUUUCAUUGAUGAUGAUGAGGCUUGGAAAUUGAAUGACCAUUCCUGUAGCACUACUUACCUGAAAAAACUUGUGGUCGUGGAUGAUAAAGGUCGACAGCAUUUGAAGACCCUGCAAUUUUGCAAGUGUGAAGUUGAAGCUGUACGCUUGAUUAGGUUCAACCUGUGGCCAUCUUCAACCAAAUUUCCAAACGUGGCAUUUCACUUUGACUUCAUGCGCUGGUUAUGUGGUCUUCUUCUUGAAAGCUCGGUGUCAUUUAAAAGUUUCUGCUCCGCAUUAGACGCGUGGACAUCAAAGCACAUGAAGACAUAUAUUCAUCAC